rnacentral:rRNA from 1 species
GGAAUAUUGGGCAAUGGGCGAGAGCCUGACCCAGCCAUGCCGCGUGCCGGAUGAAGGCCUUCUGGGUUGUAAACGGCUUUUCUCAGGGAAGAAAAAGACCAUGCGUGGUACACUGACGGUACCUGAGGAAUAAGCACCGGCUAACUCCGUGCCAGCAGCCGCGGUAAUACGGAGGGUGCAAGCGUUGUCCGGAUUUAUUGGGUUUAAAGGGUGCGUAGGUGGUUUGAUAAGUCCGGGGUGAAAGCCCACAGCUCAACUGUGGAACUGCCCUGGAUACUGUCAGACUUGAGGGUAGACGAGGUUGGCGGAAUAGAAGGUGUAGCGGUGAAAUGCAUAGAUACCUUCUAGAACCCCGAUUGCGUAGGCAGCUGACUAGGCUACACCUGACACUGAGGCACGAAAGCGUGGGGAGCGAACA